rnacentral:ncRNA from 1 species
CCCUUGCCAGGGGGGUAUCUUCGGAUAGAGCCUGGACAGGAUUAGCGGGGAGUGCCUGUCACGAAAAACUCCCGCAGCA